rnacentral:sRNA from 1 species
ACGGUUGCCAUCUGCGGUCGACACUUGAGUGUAUAGAUCGUGCAGAGCAAGGAACCUCCGAAGGU